rnacentral:tRNA from 1 species
ACUGGUAGCUCAGUAGGUAGAGCAACUGACUUUUAAUCAGUGGGUCGGGGGUUCGAUUCCCCCC